rnacentral:rRNA from 1 species
AGCGAACGCUGGCGGCAGGCUUAACACAUGCAAGUCGAGCGGGCAUCCUUGUGGUGUCAGCGGCAGACGGGUGAGUAACGCGUGGGAACGUGCCCUUCGGUUCGGAAUAACUCAGGGAAACUUGCGCUAAUACCGGAUACGUGCGAGAGCAGAAAGGUUUAUCUGCCGAAGGAUCGGCCCGCGUCUGAUUAGCUAGUUGGUGAGGUUACGGCUCACCAAGGCGACGAUCAGUAGCUGGUCUGAGAGGAUGAUCAGCCACACUGGGACUGAGACACGGCCCAGACUCCUACGGGAGGCAGCAGUGGGGAAUAUUGGACAAUGGGGGCAACCCUGAUCCAGCCAUGCCGCGUGAGUGAUGACGGCCUUAGGGUUGUAAAGCUCUUUUCUCCGGGACGAUAAUGACGGUACCGGAGGAAUAAGCCCCGGCUAACUUCGUG